GGCAGCAGUAGGGAAUAUUGGGCAAUGGGUGGAAGCCUGACCCAGCCAUCCCGCGUGCCGGAUGAAGGCCCUCUGGGUCGUAAACGGCUUUUGACGGUGAAGAACCGAAAGGGUGCGCCCUUUUUUGACGGUAGCCGUUGAAUAAGCACCGGCUAACUCCGUGCCAGCAGCCGCGGUAAUACGGAGGGUGCGAGCGUUGUCCGGAUUUAUUGGGUUUAAAGGGUGCGUAGGCUGGAAGGUCAGUCAGCGGUGAAAAGCAGUUGCUCAACAAUUGUCUUGCCGCAGAUACUUCCUUUCUUGGAUUGGGAGGAGGUCACCGGAACGGAUGGUGUAGCGGUGAAAUGCAUAGAUAUCAUCCAGAACGCCAAUUGSGAAGGCAGGUGACUGUACCUAUAUCGACGCUGAUGCACGAAAGCAUGGGUAGCGAACAGGAUUAGAUACCCUGGUAGUCCAUCCCGUAAACGAUGAGGACUAGCUGUUGGGAGCAUAGCUUUCAGUGGCACAGGGAAACCGUUAAUCCUCCAC
rnacentral:rRNA from 1 species